AAAGUCGUAACAAGGUUUCCGUAGGUGAACCUGCGGAAGGAUCAUUUAUGAGCGAGCCGAAAGGCAAGCAUAAUAUCCAUAACACAGUGAACUGUUGGCUUCGGCCAAAUUUUUACAAACUUUGUGUAAUGAACGUAUAAUACUAUAAUCAAUAAAACUUUCAACAACGGAUCUCUUGGCUCUC
rnacentral:misc_RNA from 1 species